rnacentral:rRNA from 1 species
UGAGGAAUAUUGGUCAAUGGGCGCAGGCCUGAACCAGCCAAGUAGCGUGAAGGAUGACUGCCCUAUGGGUUGUAAACUUCUUUUAUAAAGGAAUAAAGUCGGGUAUGUAUGCCCGUUUGCAUGUACUUUAUGAAUAAGGAUCGGCUAACUCCGUGCCAGCAGCCGCGGUAAUACGGAGGAUCCGAGCGUUAUCCGGAUUUAUUGGGUUUAAAGGGAGCGUAGAUGGAUGUUUAAGUCAGUUGUGAAAGUUUGCGGCUCAACCGUAAAAUUGCAGUUGAUACUGGAUAUCUUGAGUGCAGUUGAGGCAGGCGGAAUUCGUGGUGUAGCGGUGAAAUGCUUAGAUAUCACGAAGAACUCCGAUUGCGAAGGCAGCCUGCUAAGCUGCAACUGACAUUGAGGCUCGAAAGUGUGGGUAUCAAACAGGAUUAGAUACCCUGGUAGUCCACACGGUAAACGAUGAAUACUCGCUGUUUGCGAUAUACUGCAAGCGGCCAAGCGAAAGCGUUAAGUAUUCCACCUGGGGAGUACGCCGGCAACGGUGAAACUCAAAGGAAUUGACGGGGGCCCGCACAAGCGGAGGAACAUGUGGUUUAAUUCGAUGAUACGCGAGGAACCUUACCCGGGCUUAAAUUGCAGAUGAAUUACGGUGAAAGCCGUAAGCCGCAAGGCAUCUGUGAAGGUGCUGCAUGGUUGUCGUCAGCUCGUGCCGUGAGGUGUCGGCUUAAGUGCCAUAACGAGCGCAACCCUUGUUGUCAGUUACUAACAGGUUCCGCUGAGGACUCUGACAAGACUGCCAUCGUAAGAUGUGAGGAAGGUGGGGAUGACGUCAAAUCAGCACGGCCCUUACGUCCGGGGCUACACACGUGUUACAAUGGGGGGUACAGAGGGCCGCUACCACGCGAGUGGAUGCCAAUCCCCAAAACCUCUCUCAGUUCGGACUGGAGUCUGCAACCCGACUCCACGAAGCUGGAUUCGCUAGUAAUCGCGCAUCAGCCACGGCGCGGUGAAUACGUUCCC